UCCUGCUGCCACCACAGCCAUCUGGGCCACUGUCAACGUCUCAUGCAGUAUAGAAGGAAGGAACAAGGGAUGGAGGUGGGGGGUGUGGUCUGCCCUGCAAAGCCGUUGGAUUAGAAGGAGUCUGGGGCUUCCAGAUGACAAGGCCUGGCACAGCCACCACUAUCCCUGGCCCAUUUUUCACCUCUUGAUAUUGACCACAGGGUGAGAAGCCUGGCUUCAGUGAGUCCAGUUGUGGCUGGUGUCCUGUUGACCUGUGUCCCUAUUCUAGCCAGCCUUCUCCUCCUCGUCAUUGACUGUAUGAUUAGACCUGCUUCCGUCUGGGCCUCCAUGAUUCAAUAGGGCCAAGGACCAGAAUCUUCUUCUCACUACUCUAUGUCCACUAUCCUUUUAAAUCUUCAGGUGCCAGAGAGAAGGAGCAAAAGCCACCAUUUCUCUGGGAGAACUGCCUUUCUCAAGUGACAGCCAGCACCUCGCUUACGAUGUGAUCCCCUCACUAACUCUGACCAGAUGGGAGCCAAAGAGUGAUUCUGGUAGUGGUGCACAGCCCAGCCCUUUGCUUACGAACACCACUUUCCCCAGAGUUCCUACUGGCUCAAGACUAAGGCUAGAUAUCCCUGUCUUUAGGGACCUUGACUUAAGAUGCUGACUAUUCCUAGGGUUGGAUUUAGAUCUGCCUGACACUUUCAAGAGAAACCUGGCCUAGAGGGACACCAGCCAAUACUGGUGAAUCUGUGCUCAUUGGCUUCAGAUCCACACAAGGAUCUGGAUCAGGGCCACUGGGAACUUCAGGUUCCCUCGGGGGUGGAUGGUCAGGGGAGCCUUCAUGUGGCCUACUGGCUUCUGUUGAGUCUGGUCUCUUGGCCUCUUCUUGUGUCCACUGCAGUGGGCAGAGUCUGUGUUUGGGAUGGGCUAGUUUGUGUCUUCUAUUGCUUGACUGCUCACCAUGAUCCCCACGGCUCCCAUGGUAAAUCUGGGAAGUUUUUUUUUUUUCUCCAACCCUCAAAGUGAAGCUCCUUACCUGAGAGAUCCUCACUGUUACCCCAGACCUCAGGGCCCCUUCCCAAGUUCAUCUGCCCGGGUUGUUACUUGGCACUGAGCCAAUCAACCAGGAUGGGAAAGGGGCAUCUUGAGUUCCUGGCAUCCUGAGUGCUACGUCUUGUUAAUCUUAGCCCUGUCAUUACAGGAGCUAUCCCUCAAGACUUAUUAACAGCUGUCCUCUAGGAGAAUGGCAGAAGGGGAGUUGGCCAGUGCUGAAGCCCACAUCCCUCUGCAGGCCAAUGGACAUACUUCCUAAGACGCUUCAAUACACAGUUGGCCAGUCUGGUGGGU